AUGAACGCUGGCGGCGUGCCUAAUACAUGCAAGUCGAGCGAACAGACGAGGAGCUUGCUCCUCUGACGUUAGCGGCGGACGGGUGAGUAACACGUGGAUAACCUACCUAUAAGACUGGGAUAACUUCGGGAAACCGGAGCUAAUACCGGAUAAUAUAUUGAACCGCAUGGUUCAAUAGUGAAAGACGGUUUUGCUGUCACUUAUAGAUGGAUCCGCGCCGCAUUAGCUAGUUGGUAAGGUAACGGCUUACCAAGGCGACGAUGCGUAGCCGACCUGAGAGGGUGAUCGGCCACACGGGAACUGAGACACGGUCCAGACACCUACGGGAGGCAGCAGUAGGGAAUCUUCCGCAAUGGGCGAAAGCCUGACGGAGCAACGCCGCGUGAGUGAUGAAGGUCUUCGGAUCGUAAAACUCUGUUAUUAGGGAAGAACAAAUGUGUAAGUAACUAUGCACGUCUUGACGGUACCUAAUCAGAAAGCCACGGCUAACUACGU
rnacentral:rRNA from 1 species